rnacentral:tRNA from 1 species
CGCCGGGAAGUGGGCGGCCGGGUUUCGCGAGCCACUCGAGGACGACGCGUGCCGCGCACGGGGGUCCUGAGCAU